CCUACGGGUGGCAGCAGUGAGGAAUAUUGGUCAAUGGACGAGAGUCUGAACCAGCCAAGUAGCGUGAAGGAUGACUGCCCUAUGGGUUGUAAACUUCUUUUAUAUGGGAAUAAAACGUUCCACGUGUGGGAUUUUGUAUGUACCAUAUGAAUAAGGAUCGGCUAACUCCGUGCCAGCAGCCGCGGUAAUACGGAGGAUCCGAGCGUUAUCCGGAUUUAUUGGGUUUAAAGGGAGCGUAGGUGGAUUGUUAAGUCAGUUGUGAAAGUUUGCGGCUCAACCGUAAAAUUGCAGUUGAAACUGGCAGUCUUGAGUACAGUAGAGGUGGGCGGAAUUCGUGGUGUAGCGGUGAAAUGCUUAGAUAUCACGAAGAACUCCGAUUGCGAAGGCAGUUCACUGGCCUGCAACUGACACUGAGGCUCGAAAGUGUGGGUAUCAAACAGGAUUAGAUACCCUUGUAGUC
rnacentral:rRNA from 1 species